GGCUGAAACACUGGUUCCCAUACAAUUACCAAGGUUAAGCAACACUGAGCCUGGUCAGUACCUAGAUGGGUGACCACUGGGGAAUACCAGAUGCU
rnacentral:rRNA from 1 species